rnacentral:rRNA from 1 species
GAUUAAGUUAUUAAGGGCGCAUGGUGGAUGCCUUGGCACUAGAAGCCGAUGAAGGACGUUACUAACGACGAUAUGCUUUGGGGAGCUGUAAGUAAGCUUUGAUCCAGAGAUUUCCGAAUGGGGAAACCCAGCAUGAGUUAUGUCAUGUUAUCGAUAUGUGAAUACAUAGCAUAUCAGAAGGCACACCCGGAGAACUGAAACAUCUUAGUACCCGGAGGAAGAGAAAGAAAAUUCGAUUCCCUUAGUAGCGGCGAGCGAAACGGGAAGAGCCCAAACCAACAAGCUUGCUUGUUGGGGUUGUAGGACACUCUAUACGGAGUUACAAAGGACGACAUUAGACGAAUCAUCUGGAAAGAUGAAUCAAAGAAGGUAAUAAUCCUGUAGUCGAAAAUGUUGUCUCUCUUGAGUGGAUCCUGAGUACGACGGAGCACGUGAAAUUCCGUCGGAAUCUGGGAGGACCAUCUCCUAAGGCUAAAUACUCUCUAGUGACCGAUAGUGAACCAGUACCGUGAGGGAAAGGUGAAAAGCACCCCGGAAGGGGAGUGAAAUAGAACCUGAAACCGUGUGCUUACAAGUAGUCAGAGCCCGUUAAUGGGUGAUGGCGUGCCUUUUGUAGAAUGAACCGGCGAGUUACGAUUUGAUGCAAGGUUAAGCAGUAAAUGUGGAGCCGUAGCGAAAGCGAGUCUGAAUAGGGCGUUUAGUAUUUGGUCGUAGACCCGAAACCAGGUGAUCUACCCUUGGUCAGGUUGAAGUUCAGGUAACACUGAAUGGAGGACCGAACCGACUUACGUUGAAAAGUGAGCGGAUGAACUGAGGGUAGCGGAGAAAUUCCAAUCGAACCUGGAGAUAGCUGGUUCUCUCCGAAAUAGCUUUAGGGCUAGCCUCAAGUGAUGAUUAUUGGAGGUAGAGCACUGUUUGGACGAGGGGCCCCUCUCGGGUUACCGAAUUCAGACAAACUCCGAAUGCCAAUUAAUUUAACUUGGGAGUCAGAACAUGGGUGAUAAGGUCCGUGUUCGAAAGGGAAACAGCCCAGACCACCAGCUAAGGUCCCAAAAAUAUGUUAAGUGGAAAAGGAUGUGGCGUUGCCCAGACAACUAGGAUGUUGGCUUAGAAGCAGCCAUCAUUUAAAGAGUGCGUAAUAGCUCACUAGUCGAGUGACACUGCGCCGAAAAUGUACCGGGGCUAAACAUAUUACCGAAGCUGUGGAUUGUCCUUUGGACAAUGGUAGGAGAGCGUUCUAAGGGCGUUGAAGCAUGAUCGUAAGGACAUGUGGAGCGCUUAGAAGUGAGAAUGCCGGUGUGAGUAGCGAAAGACGGGUGAGAAUCCCGUCCACCGAUUGACUAAGGUUUCCAGAGGAAGGCUCGUCCGCUCUGGGUUAGUCGGGUCCUAAGCUGAGGCCGACAGGCGUAGGCGAUGGAUAACAGGUUGAUAUUCCUGUACCACCUAUAAUCGUUUUAAUCGAUGGGGGGACGCAGUAGGAUAGGCGAAGCGUGCGAUUGGAUUGCACGUCUAAGCAGUAAGGCUGAGUAUUAGGCAAAUCCGGUACUCGUUAAGGCUGAGCUGUGAUGGGGAGAAGACAUUGUGUCUUCGAGUCGUUGAUUUCACACUGCCGAGAAAAGCCUCUAGAUAGAAAAUAGGUGCCCGUACCGCAAACCGACACAGGUAGUCAAGAUGAGAAUUCUAAGGUGAGCGAGCGAACUCUCGUUAAGGAACUCGGCAAAAUGACCCCGUAACUUCGGGAGAAGGGGUGCUCUUUAGGGUUAACGCCCAGAAGAGCCGCAGUGAAUAGGCCCAAGCGACUGUUUAUCAAAAACACAGGUCUCUGCUAAACCGUAAGGUGAUGUAUAGGGGCUGACGCCUGCCCGGUGCUGGAAGGUUAAGAGGAGUGGUUAGCUUCUGCGAAGCUACGAAUCGAAGCCCCAGUAAACGGCGGCCGUAACUAUAACGGUCCUAAGGUAGCGAAAUUCCUUGUCGGGUAAGUUCCGACCCGCACGAAAGGCGUAACGAUUUGGGCACUGUCUCAACGAGAGACUCGGUGAAAUCAUAGUACCUGUGAAGAUGCAGGUUACCCGCGACAGGACGGAAAGACCCCGUGGAGCUUUACUGUAGCCUGAUAUUGAAAUUCGGCACAGCUUGUACAGGAUAGGUAGGAGCCUUUGAAACGUGAGCGCUAGCUUACGUGGAGGCGCUGGUGGGAUACUACCCUAGCUGUGUUGGCUUUCUAACCCGCACCACUUAUCGUGGUGGGAGACAGUGUCAGGCGGGCAGUUUGACUGGGGCGGUCGCCUCCUAAAAGGUAACGGAGGCGCUCAAAGGUUCCCUCAGAAUGGUUGGAAAUCAUUCAUAGAGUGUAAAGGCAUAAGGGAGCUUGACUGCGAGACCUACAAGUCGAGCAGGGUCGAAAGACGGACUUAGUGAUCCGGUGGUUCCGCAUGGAAGGGCCAUCGCUCAACGGAUAAAAGCUACCCCGGGGAUAACAGGCUUAUCUCCCCCAAGAGUUCACAUCGACGGGGAGGUUUGGCACCUCGAUGUCGGCUCAUCGCAUCCUGGGGCUGUAGUCGGUCCCAAGGGUUGGGCUGUUCGCCCAUUAAAGCGGUACGCGAGCUGGGUUCAGAACGUCGUGAGACAGUUCGGUCCCUAUCCGUCGUGGGCGUAGGAAAUUUGAGAGGAGCUGUCCUUAGUACGAGAGGACCGGGAUGGACAUACCUCUGGUGUACCAGUUGUCGUGCCAACGGCAUAGCUGGGUAGCUAUGUGUGGACGGGAUAAGUGCUGAAAGCAUCUAAGCAUGAAGCCCCCCUCAAGAUGAGAUUUCCCAACUUCGGUUAUAAGAUCCCUCAAAGAUGAUGAGGUUAAUAGGUUCGAGGUGGAAGCAUGGUGACAUGUGGAGCUGACGAAUACUAAUCGAUCGAAGACUUAAUCAA